GACGAACGCUGGCGGCGUGCUUAACACAUGCAAGUCGAACGGUAAGGCCCUUCGGGGUACACGAGUGGCGAACGGGUGAGUAACACGUGGGUGAUCUGCCCUGCACUUCGGGAUAAGCCUGGGAAACUGAGUCUAAUACCGGAUAGGACUCCGGACUGCAUGGUCUGGGGUGGAAAGCUUUUGCGGUGUGGGAUGGGCCCGCGGCCUAUCAGCUUGUUGGUGGGGUGAUGGCCUACCAAGGCGACGACGGGUAGCCGGCCUGAGAGGGUGACCGGCCACACUGGGACUGAGAUACGGCCCAGACUCCUACGGGAGGCAGCAGUGGGGAAUAUUGCACAAUGGGCGCAAGCCUGAUGCAGCGACGCCGCGUGAGGGAUGACGGCCUUCGGGUUGUAAACCUCUCUCAGCACAGACGAAGCGCAAGUGACGGUAUGUGCAGAAGAAGGACCGGCCAACUACGUGCCAGCCGCCGCCGUAA
rnacentral:rRNA from 1 species